CAGAGUCACGUGGCUGGGUGAAUGAAGAGGAGAAAAUGGCAGUACACACAGCAGAAGGGUGUAGGAAGAGACUAGUCUGCUGAAUAAAAACACGGGAAGAAGCUGAGGUUCAGAGAGGGUGAAUACUUUGUCCAAGGUCAAAUGGCUGCUAAGAGGCAAGCUGCAGGUCGGAACCCUGGGAAGCUUGACUCAGAAGCUCCUACCCACUCUAUCUAUCAUUCUGCUUAAUGGGCAGUGAACCUAGAAUUAUCCAAACUAAAGUCCCCUGAACUAACCAAAGUAUGUCAAGCAGAUCAAUACUCGGAUUUUUAAAGCCUGACUGCUUGAUUCCUUCA